rnacentral:rRNA from 1 species
CGCGUAGGUGGUCCUUCAAGUCAGAUGUUAAAUCUCCUGGCUUAACUGGGAGCUGUCAUCUGAUACUGCUGGACUUGAGGGCGGUAGAGGGAGGUGGAAUUCCCGGUGUAGUGGUGAAAUGCGUAGAUAUCGGGAGGAACACCAGUGGCGAAGGCGGCCUCCUAGGCCGUUCCUGACACUGAGGCGCGAAAGCGUGGGGAGCGAACAGGAUCAGAUACCCUGGUAGUCCACGCCCUAAACUGUGGAAACUAGGUACAGGGAGUAUCGACCCUUCCUGCGCCGUAGCUAACGCGUUAAGUUUCCCGCCUGGGGACUACGGUCGCAAGACUAAA